UACGUAGGGGGCAAGCGUUGUCCGGAAUCAUUGGGCGUAAAGCGCGUGUAGGCGGCCAGGUAAGUCCGUUCUGAAAGCCCGGGGCUCAACCCCGGGAGGCGGAUGGAUACUGCUUGGCUCGAGUCCGGAAGAGGCGAGUGGAAUUCCCGGUGUAGCGGUGAAAUGCGCAGAUAUCGGGAGGAACACCAAUGGCGAAGGCAGCUCGCUGGGACGGUACUGACGCUGAGACGCGAAAGCGUGGGGAGCAAACA
rnacentral:rRNA from 1 species